GACGGAGGAUGCAAGCGUUAUCCGGAAUGAUUGGGCGUAAAGCGUCCGCAGGUGGCAGUUCAAGUCUGCUGUCAAAGACCGGGGGCUUAACUUCGGAAAGGCAGUGGAAACUGAACAGCUAGAGUAUGGUAGGGGGCAGAGGGAAUUCCUGGUGUAGCGGUGAAAUGCGUAGAGAUCAGGAAGAACAUCGGUGGCGAAGGCGCUCUGCUGGACCAUAACUGACACUCAGGGACGAAAAGCUAGGGGAGCGAAUGGG
rnacentral:rRNA from 1 species